GUUUGAUUAUUUGUACUUGUUUGACAAUAGCCCUUUUUUUCUCUGUACAUAGCACAUACCGAACCCUAUCGAAGCUGGGCUCUUAAUACCGUGAUGCAAACCAAAAUGGUCCGGAGACAACUAGGGGGUGUCGACAAACUUCCAAUGAGGACCAUUAGACCACUUGAGAAGAAUGACCUCAUAUGACCAAGCUCUAAUGUUGUAAAGCAGAUUUUGAGCUGAUCUCAUCACAACCCCUGGGUGCACCAGCUGUGGAAAUUACGGGCCAAACUUUGGACACACUAGGAAUGACACACUGGUUCAUCUUAAGAUGCACAGAUCUACCUAUAGCCCACCAUCAAUCCCACACUCAACUUGCAACGAAGUUUCAUUAAGUGCAGUCUAUAACCCGUGUCUGCCAUGCACGGUCUGCACCUUGUUUUAUUGCAGAUGUUAUGGAUUAUUCUAUUAGAGCUCUUUAUAUUCUUUA